rnacentral:rRNA from 1 species
CCUACGGGAGGCAGCAGUGAGGAAUAUUGGUCAAUGGUCGGGAGACUGAACCAGCCAAGCCGCGUGAGGGAUGAAGGUACAGAGUAUCGUAAACCUCUUUUGUCAGGGAACAAAGGCGGGGACGCGUCCCCGGAUGAGUGUACCUGAAGAAAAAGCAUCGGCUAACUCCGUGCCAGCAGCCGCGGUAAUACGGAGGAUGCGAGCGUUAUCCGGAUUUAUUGGGUUUAAAGGGUGCGUAGGCGGGUUAUCAAGUCCGCGGUAAAAUCGUGGAGCUCCACUCCCUCCAGCCGUUUAAACUUGU